UACGUAGGGUGCGAGCGUUGUCCGGAAUUAUUGGGCGUAAAGAGCUUGUAGGCGGUUUGUCGCGUCUGCCGUGAAAUUUCGAGGCUCAACCUCGAACUUGCGGUGGGUACGGGCAGACUAGAGUGUGGUAGGGGAGACUGGAAUUCCUGGUGUAGCGGUGAAAUGCGCAGAUAUCAGGAGGAACACCGAUGGCGAAGGCAGGUCUCUGGGCCACUACUGACGCUGAGAAGCGAAAGCAUGGGGAGCGAACAGGAUUAGAUAC
rnacentral:rRNA from 1 species